CUCACGUUCCAUUUUAUAUAAAUUCCUAGUUUUACACCAAAAUAUUCUCUCUCCCAUUUAUCGAUAACUCAAGUUCGCAGCUGUCAUGUGUUCGUUUCGAUUUCUGCGUAGUUUUUUUUUUCAAUACAAUUUAUUCGAAAUCUUACAAAAUGAAUAACUUUUUAAAAUUAAGAACUGCAUUCACUAAAAGUAUUUAUUUAAUACAAGAGCAACCGUCACUGAAGCGAAUAAUACAAUUCAUAGCUAAUGAGAGAAAAUGUAGAACACUCGCUACCAAAGUACAACAUACGUCAGAUUCAUACCUUGAAUUUAAGGGAAAUUGGCCGAAUGAGGAAAAACAAUGUUUCUUGCAAGAUAUGCGUAUAUUCAUAAAUUUUGUCGACGAAGAUGAAGAACAACAAUUGCUUAGUGAAGUUGAACCUUAUAUGAAACGCCUGCGCUAUGAAUAUGAUCAUUGGGAUAACGCAAUACAUGGUUUCCGAGAAACUGAGCGUAAACAUUGGUAUCCUGAAAACCGAAAAAUCAUUGACAAAAUACGAAAUACCGGCUUUGCUGAUGAGAUUAUGCCUUUUGUGCAUGUCUUGGACUUGUCAUCAGAAGGUGUAAUUAAGCCGCAUGUGGACAGUACCAGAUACUGUGGGAAUAUAAUAGCUGGCUUGAGUUUACUCACCGAUAGUGUCAUGCGUUUAGUACGUAUUGAUGAAGAAAAAUGCCAGCAAAAUGAUGAAAGUAAUGUACAGCAAAACUACCGUACGCAACCAGAGCAAUCACAUACCUUGCUUGCGAGUAGUUUUCAUGCCAACGUUCUAUUGCCACGUCGAUCUCUCUAUAUAAUGAGUAAUACUGCUCGUUACCACUUUACGCACGAGAUUCUCCCAAACGCUGUGUCGACUUUUCGUGGACAGCCAGUAAGAAAGGAUCGACGCAUAUCAAUUAUUUGUAGGAACGAACCUUAGCACUAAAAGCCACAAAUUACUCACAUAUAAAACUCGCUCGGCAUGGAACUACCGAAAAUUUCAAUGAAUUGUAAGUAAAAAAAAAUUAUGAUAACAUUUUAUUUGCAUAUACUUUAGUUUUGUCUCCUUUUUUCAGGCUUGGGCGGGCUGCAAAUACAAAACAAAAAGAAAAUUGAAUGCCAAUAGGUUGUCCCUGCAAAAUACCGGAGGAGGCCAAGCAAACAGAUGACACUGCGGACGAAGAGGAAAUAGGCGAGCUGCAGCAAGCGCGACAGCUGUGGGUACAAUUGUAAUGUAUGUUUAUAAUAUAAUGCCCUAAUGCGAUAGAUUGCGAGGCCCAGGAUAACAUCUCUAUUAAGAAGCGAACGUAUUCAUCCUAUGAUGAAGGGACAAAGAGGUUUAAGAAAGCUCUGGGAUCUAACAUCUAAGAUUUGCUUAAGAAGCAUAUUAUGUCUGGCCAACAAUACAAAAAGAAAAAGCGCAAAAUCAUCAGGGAAUAGUGCAAUUGCUAAGAGAAACUCAACAUGAGCUUAAGUCGGUCCAAUAAGAUGAACUUAGCCAAGGAAAACAACGACUUAAUCCGGCAAUGUGAAUUCGAGAGUGAAGAAGACUCGGAUUUAGUUAACCCAAGUUUUAUUUCUUGGGAAAAUUUUGAAUCUUAUAUAUUUUUAUUUUAUAUAUUUAUAUAUUAUCAUAUGAAUUUACCUAUAAAGAAUGUGUG